CAGAGGUCCCAAGCGUUGUUCGGAUUCACUGGGCGUAAAGGGUGCGUAGGUGGUGGGGUAAGUUUGAUGUGAAAGCUCGAGCUUAACUCGGAAAUGGCAUUGAAUACUAUCCUGCUUGAGGGUUGGAGGGGGGACUGGAAUUCUCGGUGUAGCAGUGAAAUGCGUAGAUAUCGAGAGGAACACCAGUGGCGAAGGCGAGUCCCUGGACAACUCCUGACACUGAGGCACGAAAGCUAGGGGAGCAAACAGGAUUAGAUACCCUGGUAGUCCUAGCCGUAAACGGUGCACGUUUGCUGUAAAAGGAUCGUACCCCUUUGUGGCGUAGCCAACGCGUUAAACGUGCCGCCUGGGAAGUACGGUCGCAAGAUUA
rnacentral:rRNA from 1 species